rnacentral:piRNA from 1 species
UGUUUGUCACCGUGUCUGGGAACCCCACC